GUGCUCGCUUCGGCAGCAGAUAUACUGAAAUUGUAAUAAUAUAGAGAAGAUUAUCAUUGCCCCUGUGCAAGGAUAACAGCAAAUUCAUGAAGCAUUCCAUAUUUUU